UUCUAACUACACAAAUUCAUCACAGCUCUAGGGUAAUUUUGGCCAAGUGUCAAUCUCACAGCCUCCCUCAUCAAAUCAUUGCUGGACAAAAUGACAAAAAGUUUACUUCUUAUGGGCAAUGUUUUGAAUUGUUUUUCCCUCCUCUUUUGUUCUGUGAUUUUGGGCCAAAUACAUUGAGUCCAACAUAAUCCAGCCCAGCAAAGCCCAUUCCUUGAAAGAAGAAAAGCUUCACGCCAAAAAAAAACAAAGAAGCAAGAAUACCUUCCUUGAGCUGUAGCUUUCACGUAUUGCAGAUUUUACAGGCUAGAAUCCAAAAACCUCAAUUAGCUCUCUCUCAUCCUCUCCAAUAUCUUCACCACCACCAACACCUUCGCCGCCGUCACUUUCAUCGCCCUCCAUUGGCUUCUUCAAAUAGAAAGGUUUCAACUUGCUUCUUAAUCCCUUCCUUAUUUCAUGAUUUGAUUUCAUAUUCUAAUUUAGAUUUUCAAUUUUCCCCUUCUGAGUUAGGUUUGAUUUUAGUUUUUUUGAAUAUUAUAAUCUGAUUUGAAGGAGUGGCUUGCCAUGUUUUCCCUUAGCAUUCUGAUUUACAAGGUGAGUCCUUCUCUUCACUCCAUUUUUUUUCUUAACUGAACAUGAACCUUAAGUGUCUCAUUCUUAGAAGGCUUUGUUGGUUCACUAUCCCUUUAAAUAUGUCAAGCCAUAACAAUUUGGUUUAUAAUAUAAAUUAGGAAGGUACUUAAUUGAACAUGAACCUUAGAAGUCUCAUUCUUAGAAUUUUAUCUGAUUCAUCCAAAAAAAUUAUUGUGAUAUGAAAAUGUUCAUAUUUCCAUCUUUUGUUGUUGUGUUUAUUGGUCUUUAUUCUUCUCUUAGGAAUACAAUGAAGUAGAAGAGAAUGGGAGAGUGAAUAGUGCUUAGUGAACGAUAGAUCUCAAUAGUCACAUUUUUUUUUAGGUAUUGUUUUCAGUUUAUUAGUUCUUGGUUUCAGUAAAUAAAUCUCAUGUUUAUUAUUUUGAAGACAUUUCAAAAUAAUCUCAUGUUUUAAAACAUUGUUGUUACUUAAAUGCAUUAGUCACCUAUUGUCUUUUUGUUCUAUUUGGUUUUUAUUUUUGUUUAUGAUUAUAUAUACACACAUGUUCCCUCUUCAAUUCAAAAUUCAAAUUUGUUCAAUUACCUCUUUCCCUUCUAUAUCUCACCGAGUUUAAUAUUGGAUGGCCUAUGUGAGGUUCGAAUUCCUUCUCUUGCAAAAUUUCAGCUCAUUGUGUCUAAUUUAAUGUUUCCUUUUACUUUGUAAAUUUGUAAACCUGAUUUUGUUUCUAAAACUUUUGCGAGGUUCAACAGUUGUUGUUGAUGUCUUUCAAGAUCUAUUGGUUAAAAUGUAUUCAAGUUGAAGGGAAAUAUGGGAGUAGCUUUCAAUAUCAUCAAGCUUGAAAUUUAUUAUUUAGUUCAUCUCGACAACGGGACUGCGACCUUAAAGAGUGAUUUUAGGUAACACAUGAAGUAUGAGAUUAAAUAGGUCAGGACUUUAUAUCCAAUACCAAGUAAUUAGUGCACAUAAUGUGCCAUAUACAAGCAGAAAAGCUCGACACGAGCUUGAUAUUGUACCAUUCUCCAACUACAAGGAAACUCUAGAGUUUGUGGAAGAUUAGCUAAAGCCUGAGUGCAACUAGGAUAGAGUUAUCUCAAUUUCUAUUGUAUCGUGUACUAUUAAAAGUAUGUACACUGCAUUUUUUUGUUUGUAUAUUGUGUUAACUUAUAUAUUAAUUACAUAGAGAUUAAGCACAUUCUAUUGGUGUUGCCUUAUUUUUCACCCUUUCCUUUAUAGUGCACGAUUCAAAAGCACUCAAUAAAGUUUAAUCAAUAGAGAGCUUUAUGAGG